rnacentral:misc_RNA from 1 species
GAUGAAGAACGUAGCGAAAUGCGAAAAGUAGUGUGAAUUGCAGAAUUCAGUGAAUCAUCGAAUCUUUGAACGCACAUUGCGCCCCUUGGUAUUCCAUGGGGCAUGCCUGUUCGAGCGUCAUUUGUACCUUCAAGCUCUGCUUGGUGUUGGGUGUUUGUCCCGCCGCGUGCGUGGACUCGCCUUAAAGCAAUUGGCAGCCGGCAUACGGGUCGAAGAGCGCAGCACAAUUUGCGCGCUUCCCCGUGCGUUGGCAUCCAUCAAGCCCAUUUUCACGCUUGACCUCGGAUCAGGUAGGGAUACCCGCUGAACUUAAGCAUAUCAAUAAGCGGAGGA